rnacentral:lncRNA from 1 species
GUGCACAUCCCACUGUGGUCGAUCAAAUAUGCGACAUCCCAGGAUACGUCGCCGACCCCAUUCAUUUAUUAUUGCGCAAGCGGAACGUAUUAUAAAACCCAUGACAAUUAAAUACGGGAUAGAAAAGCAGGAAGCAAAACCACAACAUAACACUUUCAUAAUUCAACAGAAUUACAAACAGAAGCCUACGGCCAAAAGUCUACAAAAGACCGGCUCUUAAAAAAAAGAACUGUCCUACGACCUACAAGUCGGACACAUUCUCCAAUCCUUAUGACUUCACCUCUGCAACUCCUCAAUGCCAACCAAAGCUAUCUGGUUGCUCCGUCCACCAAGGACCUGAAAUUUUAAUCCCACAACCGGGAUGAGACGAUGUCUCAGCAAAUUCAACCCCCUAAACCCCUAUUAGAAAGAAAAUACGCCCCGGGUGGCCUAGCCACAUCAUACAGAGAACUUACCUCGCCUCAAUUUUUUCCUGCAGGUUAGCACAGUUCAAAUCACUCAAUCAUAUGCAGUAAUAAGAACUUAAACAACUGGAACGCAUUCACUUUCAUAUAACCAACAACCGCGGGGGUCCUGAUUAUAAGACUAAAUCGUUAUGACACGUCCCAUUCCAUGCCACACAAUUCCGUCCCAUAAUCCGACACAUCAAUUUCACUCAUUAUGCAUUCCAAUUGUUAUUCACUGCCACACAAGGGCAUAGCCUACUCGCAGUUCGGCUAUCUACUGACACUAAUGCCAGGCAUCGCCUCCCCCCAUGGAGCGCGGCUUCGUCAGUACGUCGACGGCAUUCCCAAAGGAGCAUGGGCCCAGAAUCUACUGCGACCCGCAUCCACCGCGUGGGCAUCCCAUAUAGGGGCAAGUCCGGCUCAACAGCCCAGGACGAUUCCUCUUAGUUAUCACACAGUCAAGUCAUACUCGGCCCCAGGACACUUUGCAUUUCAAUCAAUGCUUCCACUUAAAAUAGUGAUCCCGGCCAUUUUUCUCCAUAUUAAAAAUAUUCCAGAAAUUACUCACGUGUGUGGGGACACGCUAAUUUCGAAUCAAAAAGCUAAUAUCUCACUUUUUCAAACCCCACUAUUUAAUAUAAUUAUCAAAAUCCAAUUUUUGCAUCAAAACCCAACACUUGGGUUUUUGGGAAUAAAAUCCUUAUUUACCACAAUCAACACUCAAUUUGCCACAUCCAUUCAUCAAAUUCAAAUUCUAAAUGCACAGCAGCAAUCGGCACGAAAUUAUGAGAAUUUAGGGUCCCAAAAUAAUUUUUCGAAUUUAUUAAAUAAUUAAAUUUAUUCCGAAAAUUAAUUAAAUAAUAAUAUGCAUAUCUUUCACGAUCCACACUCAAUUCAUAAUAUCCAAUUAUCAAUUUCAAAAUCCGAAUACACAGCAGCGACCGGCACGAAAUUCUGAGAAUUUAGGGUCCCGACAAAAUUUUCGGAAUUUAAUAAAUAAUUAAAUUUAUUCCGAAAAUAAUUAAAUAAUCAUAUUUUAAUAAUUUCGGAUAAUGAUAUAUUAUUAAAUUAUUAAAUAAUUUUGAAAUGUUUAAAUAAAUCAAAAGUAAAUUCCUUUAUGUCACAUCAAUGUUUAUAUUAAUAUAAACACCCACUUAACUUUAAAUUAAACACAAUUUAAGUUAAUCAAGCACAUUAAUAUAAUCUACACUUAAAUAAAUUAAACUAACCACCUAAUAACACUUAACAUAAACUAAACACACCUAAAGUAUCAUUAACCCUCUAAGCGAGGUUUAGUGAGUUAAACUCACUGGAUUAGCGAGCCGAGCGGACCAAAACGACAGGGACGACGCGAGGAUCGACUUUCCUCAAAGCGGGCCAAGCAUCCGGACUCGGGAAGGCGGCCGAAACGGGCCAAGAAGGGGCUGAGAAACCCAUUUUCUGUCUUCUCGGUUCGCUGCUGGAAGGGGCGGAGAUGGGCGGUUCCGGCGGCGGUUCGGGCGGAGAAACGGCGGAGGAAGGAGGUGGCAACUCCGACGGUGACUCACGGCAGCUAGGGGGGCUUCCGGCGACGUGCGGCGGCUCCGAACAGCAGCUGGACGGAGGGCUAGAGGCUCGGGGUUGCACGGGCAGCGGCGGGGCGGCGAGCCGGCGUGCGGGGCGACGCGCG